rnacentral:rRNA from 1 species
AUUGAACGCUGGCGGCAUGCUUUACACAUGCAAGUCGAGCGGCAGCACGGGGGCAACCCUGGUGGCGAGCGGCGAACGGGUGAGUAAUACAUCGGAACAUGCCCAGUCGUGGGGGAUAACACUUCGAAAGAAGUGCUAAUACCGCAUACGUCCUGAGGGGGAAAGCGGGGGAUCGCAAGACCUCGCGCGAUUGGAGUGGCCGAUGUCAGAUUAGCUAGUUGGUGGGGUAAAGGCCUACCAAGGCAACGAUCUGUAGCUGGUCUGAGAGGAUGAUCAGCCACACUGGGACUGAGACACGGCCCAGACUCCUACGGGAGGCAGCAGUGGGGAAUUUUGGACAAUGGGGGCAACCCUGAUCCAGCCAUUCCGCGUGAGUGAAGAAGGCCUUCGGGUUGUAAAGCUCUUUCGGCAGGAACGAAACGGUGAGCUCUAACAUAGCUUGCUAAUGACGGUACCUGAAGAAGAAGCACCGGCUAACUACGUG